rnacentral:rRNA from 1 species
UACAGAGGUCUCAAGCGUUGUUCGGAUUCAUUGGGCGUAAAGGGUGUGUAGGUGGCGCGCUAAGUCGGGUGUGAAAUUUCGGAGCUUAACUCCGAAACUGCAUUCGAUACUGGCGUGCUUGAGGACUGGAGAGGAGUACUGGAAUUUACGGUGUAGCAGUGAAAUGCGUAGAUAUCGUAAGGAAGACCAGUGGCGAAGGCGGGUCUCUGGACAGUUCCUGACACUGAGACACGAAGGCCAGGGGAGCAAACGGG